AUGGGUGGAGUAACACGUGGGCAACCUGCCCUUUGCACUGGGAUAGCCUCGGGAAACCGAGGUUAAUACCGGAUACUCCAUAUCCAUCGCAUGAUAGAUAUGGGAAAGCUCCGGCGGCAAAGGAUGGGCCCGCGGCCUGUUAGCUAGUUGGUGGGGUAGUGGCCUACCAAGGCAAUGAUGGGUAGCCGGGUUGAGAGACCGACCGGCCAGAUUGGGACUGAGACACGGCCCAGACUCCUACGGGAGGCAGCAGGG
rnacentral:rRNA from 1 species